ACGGAAGGCAGCAGUCGGGAAUAUUGCGCAAUGGAGGAAACUCUGACGCAGUGACGCCGCGUAUAGGAAGAAGGUUUCGGAUUGUAAACUAUUGUCGUUAGGGAAGAUUAAAGACUGUACCUAAGGAGGAAGCCCCGGCUAACUAUGUGCCAGCAGCCGCGGUAAUACAUAGGGGGCAAGCGUUAUCCGGAAUUAUUGGGUGUAAAGGGUGCGUAGACGGAGAUACAAGUUGGUUGUGAAAUCCCUCGGCUCAACUGAGGAACUGCAACCAGAGCUAUAUCCCUUGAGUGUCGGAGGGGAAAGUGGAAUUCCUAGUGUAGCGGUGAAAUGCGUAGAUAUUAGGAGGAACACCGGUGGCGAAGGCGACUUUCUGGACGAUAACUGACGUUGAGGCACGAAAGUGUGGGUAGCAAACAGGAUUAGAUACCCUGGUA
rnacentral:rRNA from 1 species